CUUCAGGAGACUGGGGCUAAUACCGGAUAGGAAUCCUUGCUGCAUGGUGGGGGUUGGAAAGCUUCGGCGGUUUUGGAUGGACUCGCGGCUUAUCAGCUUGUUGGUGGGGUAGUGGCUUACCAAGGCUUUGACGGGUAGCCGGCCUGAGAGGGCGACCGGCCACAUUGGGACUGAGAUACGGCCCAG
rnacentral:rRNA from 1 species